rnacentral:rRNA from 1 species
AACGAACGCUGGCGGCAGGCUUAACACAUGCAAGUCGAGCGCCCCGCAAGGGGAGCGGCAGACGGGUGAGUAACGCGAGGGAAUCUACCCAUCUCUACGGAAUAACGCAUGGAAACGUGUGCUAAUACCGUAUACGUCCUUCGGGAGAAAGAUUUAUCGGAGACGGAUGAGCCCGCGUUGGAUUAGCUAGUUGGUGGGGUAAAGGCCUACCAAGGCGACGAUCCAUAGCUGGUCUGAGAGGAUGAUCAGCCACACUGGGACUGAGACACGGCCCAGACUCCUACGGGAGGCAGCAGUGGGGAAUAUUGGACAAUGGGCGCAAGCCUGAUCCAGCCAUGCCACGUGAGUGAUGAAGGCCCUAGGGUUGUAAAGCUCUUUCACCGGUGAAGAUAAUGACGGUAACCGGAGAAGAAGCCCCGGCUAACUUCGUGCCAGCCGCCGCCGUAACAC